UCCACCUGUUGAUAAAAGAAGGGAAUUGUUUCUUGAUCCAAAUGGUGGGUGCAAUAUAAAUUGCCACCUUGCUUUCUAUGUUACCUGUAUUUACAUCGCUUCCUUUGCAAGGAAUCAAGUGUUGGCCACAAUUCAAUUGGUUGCCUAUAUAGCUGGAAUGACAACAUUGCACUUAUUAUCAGAACGCUAAACCACCACAAAAUUGUUUUAAUAUAUCCAAGAUAGCCCAUACUUGUAGUGGGACACCUGAAGCAGCUGUUUGGGUAUUUCACCGUCUAGAUUGUUGUCUGCUAGAUUACUGCAAAUCGCAGAGAGUUAAGAUACAUCAUAUAAUGGAAUUGCUAUUCAAGUGGUGAUAUUUUGGGAAGUUGAUUUUAUCAGCAGAAAAAGGCCAACUUACAUAUCAUUCAGCGAUGGGAGAUUGGAUAGAGAGGUUGGAAUUUUACCACUUAAGUGAUUUUUGCUCAGGUCCCUGUUCAAGAUAUCACAUUAUUAUGGUUACUACGAUCAGCUGCUACAAUCUGAGUCAUGGUCUGACUUGUGUUAUCAACAAAACUCAGAAUUUGACUUACAGAUUUUGGAGUUUUGAAAGACGGCCAAGAGAGUCAGUUAUGUUGUUGCCGUCCAGCAAUCUAAGACCAAAAAUGUAACAAAGCAGAAAGUCUCCGAUUCGGGGUGACAAGACUCCAGAUAGCCCUGAUGAGCUCAAAGUUCUGCAAUUUUCAGAAAUGAGAAAUCAAGCAAAUGCGAUUACAAAGUUAUAAUGUUAUUUUUACUAGAAACAAACUUACAAUAGUACAAAUAUGAAAAAAAAAUAGCAUGAAAAAUGUGCUACGGAUGCAAAAAUAGCAUGAAAAAUGUGCUACGGAUGCGUAAAACUCUUUCCUGUGUUCAGUGGCUAAAAUUUACAUUUAGCAUAGCUGCAUAGGCAUAGCAACCUUGCCAAGAUGAAUUAAUGUGCACGAGGAAUUCUGUGUUCUGUGUUCAGACUUCAGAAUUCACCUGUUGUUUUUUUAAGCAAUGGAAGAAUGGAUUAAUGUGCAUGCUUUUCCCAGCUCCUAAACGAUGCAAUUUUAGCAAACAACUUCCUAUAUAUUAGUUUCUUUUGUACCCUUGAAUAAUUAUCACAAAUCAUUCAACUGUUCACCCAUUCAGCACAAAAGAACAAUUAUUUAAGAAGAAUGUAAGGUUAACUUACAUUGAAG